CAGCUAUACCUCUCUUGGGCAUAUACCCAAAAGAUGCCCCAACAUAUAAAAAAGACACGUGCUCCACUAUGUUCAUUGCAGCCUUAUUUAUAAUAGCCAGAAGCUGGAAAGAACCCAGAUGCCCUUCAACAGAGGAAUGGAUACAGAAAAUGUGGUACAUCUACACAAUGGAAUAUUACUCAGCUAUCAAAAACAAUGACUUUAUGAAAUUCGUAGGCAAAUGGUUGGAACUGGAAAAUAUCAUCCUGAGUGAGCUAACCCAAUCACAGAAAGACAUACAUGGUAUGCACUCAUUGAUAAGUGGCUAUUAGCCC
rnacentral:lncRNA from 1 species